AAAGAAGCAAAGCAUCAUUAUUUCGAACCUUUUUCAGAAUUAAACUUCAUAUCAACAAUCCUAGAAAAAGCAAAUUUCCUUUCCAUUCAGAAAGGACAGCUGAUUGGAAGCCACAUAUUUGAAGCAUGUUUAAAUGGGAGAGAUCAUACAAGGACAUGCUUUGGAAAAUAACAGAUUUCAAAGAUGAGACAAUUUUGUUUCUAGAUAUGAGUGAGAAUAAGGUCCCAAAAAGUGAUCACAUUUAGAUAAACAGAUGAUUUUGUGCAUAUGUUUCACGAGGGACCUGUCAGCCUCCAGCCAAAACACCUUGUUACACCAAGGAGAAUGCUAUAAUUACUGCCAGCACCCAUCACCCCAAGUGUUUGCCCCCCCACUUUGGUGACAGUGAGACAGUAACAUUGAUCAUGUCUUUCUGAGGCAGUGCAAUAUACAAUCUAAAACUCGCAAUAUGCAAUCUAAUCCCCCACCAACCCAAACCUUGACAAAAAAAGAA